GUUCUCUACGGCGGCACUGACGCCUCCGACACAAUGGGCAGCGAGUGCGCGUAUGGCAACCUCUUCUCUCAAGGAUACAGGACACGCACAGCGGCUUUGAGCACCAUGCUAUUCAACGACUGCGCCGCGUGCGGGGAGUGCUACAAGAUCGAAUGUGAUCGCAAGCGCGCGGACCCGUUGUUUUGUAAGCCCGGCAUGACGGUGACCGUGACGGCCACUAACAUCUGCCCACCGAACGACGCCCUCCACAAUGAUAAUGCAGGCUGGUGCAACACGCCAAGGCCGCACUUCGACAUGGCCCAGCCGGCCUCGGAGAAAAUCGGUGUUAAAGGUGGCAUCAUCCCCGUAAUGUACCAGAGGGUUCCGUGCGUGAAGCGGGGCGGCGUGAGGUAUAAAAUCAAUGGUCAUGAUUACUUCAAUCUUGUGCUUGUGAGCAAUGUUGCUGCAGCAGGCUCGAUCAAGUCCAUGGAUGUCAAAAAUGGUUCUGAAGACUGGAUUCCUAUGGCACGAAAUUGGGGUGCUAACUCGCACUCGUUGGCGAAUCUUAGCGGAAAGAUGCUCUCCUUCAGACUAACCAACACUGAUGGACACACGCUUGUGUGGAACGACAUUGUGCCAAAGGGGUGGACCUUUGGGCAAUCACUUGUUAGCAAAUUGCAUUUCUAG
rnacentral:rRNA from 1 species